AGCGGCGGACGGGUGUGUAACACGUAGGAAUCUGCCCGAUAGUGGGGGAUAGCCCGGAGAAAUCCGGAUUAAUACCGCAUACGCCCUAGGGGGAAAGCAGGGGAUCCGUUCUCUUCGGAGAGUGGACCUUGCGCUAUUGGAUGAGCCUGCGUCGGAUUAGCUAGUUGGUGGGGUAAAGGCCUACCAAGGCAACGAUCCGUAGCUGGUCUGAGAGGAUGAUCAGCCACACUGGGACUGAGACACGGCCCAGACUCCUACGGGAGGCAGCAGUGGGGAAUAUUGCACAAUGGGGGAAACCCUGAUGCAGCCAUGCCGCGUGUGUGAAGAAGGCUCUAGGGUUGUAAAGCACUUUCAGUGGGGAGGAAAGGUUAUUGGUUAAUACCCAAUAGCUGUGACGUUACCCACAGAAGAAGCACCGGCUAACUCCGUGCCAGCAGCCGCGGUAAUACGGAGGGUGCGAGCGUUAAUCGGAAUUACUGGGCGUAAAGCGUGCGUAGGCGGCUGCCUAAGUUGGAUGUGAAAGCCCCGGGCUUAACCUGGGAACUGCAUCCAAAACUGGGCAGCUAGAGUGCGGAAGAGGAGUGUGGAAUUUCCUGUGUAGCGGUGAAAUGCGUAGAUAUAGGAAGGAACACCAGUGGCGAAGGCGACACUCUGGUCUGACACUGA
rnacentral:rRNA from 1 species